CCUGCAUCGGCAGGCGGACUCUCAACCACUGCGCCACCAGGGAAGCCCAAAGAGGCAAGACAGUUCUAUUGAAGAAAAUUCAGGAUAACGAGGACAGAAUUGCAAAUUGUAAUUCCACAUACAAGAGUGUUGAUUUCACAAUAAUGGUAAGAAGCAAGUCAUCUGAAAAUGAGGUAUGUCGAGAAUCUGCGUGUGUGGUAAAACAACUUCUGGAUCCCAUCUUUUAGUUAGAAAUCCACGAGCUCAAUCUCCUUCAGUUUCUAUACUCAAAAGGAAAAGUGGUUAUUUAUGUUCAACAUGAAGAUUCUUAGAUUGUGAAGCUCUUAACCAUAAAAGCAAGCCUCACCAUACAGAAUUUAGCUGAUUACUCUGAUCCAGAUAUUGCUAAAACAUUUUCAAGGAUUAUUGAAAUAUAAUGUGCAGUCUUUAAUUUUUCUGUAUGUAUUUUUCAUAUAGUUUAAAUCUAUCUAGAUAUCUAGUUUUCUCUCCCACUUUUCUUUCUGUCUCCCUACCCUGACCCACACCCCAAAAUACACACACACACACACACACACACACACCAGUGUAUUUUCCCUUGGAGUGCAUCAGUGUUUUUCUGAUUAAGUUUGUAUAUAUUUCUGAGACUGCAUUUGACCAGAAAAUCUAAGACAUGGAGGAGGAGAAUUGAAACUUUGAUUAGAAAAUGUGACUUUAGGUCAUUAUAAGAAAUUAAAUUAUGUACUAACUAGUAUUUUCUCCAAAAAUAAUUAUGAUAAAUAAUAGUUUGCUUUGAGAUGUCAUCAAGAGUAUCAAAAGAUGAAUUGUCCUAGGCUACAUACUAUGUAUUUUGCAGCACACUCCUUAUUUUAGAUUUAUUACUUUAAAUAAAUCAAAUAUAUACUUAAAUAAAUAUGAACUCUAGGUCCUCAAAUAAUAAUAAGAUAUACAUUUCCUCCUCUUUUGGCAAUCUCUAUCACAAAAUAGGCCAAGAUGUGCCACAUUCAGUCCAUGGGAAAUUUGCUUUAUUCUGAAAGUGCUACUCUAGCUUUUCCGUAUGAAAUAACGAUUUGCAUUGAAUUUGUCUCAUACUUUGGAAUAGGCCAUCAACUGAGUAAACUAUUUGGAACGUUCACUCGAACCUUUGUUAUCCCAGAAAAUCUUUGUAUCCUAUUAAGAAUUGAUAUAUGGUUUGUCAGUCCUUUUAUUAUUGUUAUUCUUUUUUAGUUGUAUGUUAUGGUCAUGAGUAUUGGAAAUGGCUAAGAUAGAUUAAAAAUGGUAGUUAAUUAUACUAUAUUAUUUCUCAGAUGGUUAAAUUAAGAGCUCACAUGAUAUUAGGUAUCAUAUGUUCUACAUGGAAGAAGACCCUAAGACGUAUUUUAAAGGGUAGUUUCUCACAUAGUGAUUAUUAAAGAAAUAAUAAAUUUCAAAAAGCAAUAACUGUGCUAUGAUAAUGCUUUUUUUAAUACCAGUGAAAUUUAACAAAUACACCAAAUUACAAUUCUAUAAAUAACUUAUUCCCUAUGUGAUUCAUUAAAUAUAUAACUGAUCCCUUGUUUAGUCCUUGCUUAGCUAAACCUGUUAUAUUUCCCUCUAACAAUAUUGGAAAUUACUUUUUUCACAAACAUGUCUUCUUUUUCAUUUGGUAGUUUGUCACUUUCGAAAAAAAAUGAUUUCAAAGUAACACUUCAUGCUACACACAUGCUAUCCACCAUGUUGGAUUUAAAUAAAAAAUGACAGGAUUUCCAAGUUUUACCUUUGUUGUGUGUUACCUUUAGAUUAUUGGUGAAGAAUGAAGAAUUCAAAAUCACAUAUAAUUUAAAACAAAUGAACAUUGAUUUUUGAAUUUGCUUUCCCAUUUUGUGAGGUUAUUUCCCAGAUCAGAAAAUGUCACUGUUAUAAAGUAAUAAAGCCAUACCGGGGCGAUCCAACUGAAAGAAAGGAGAAAAAAACUGUACAGUUUCUUAUUUUAAAAAUGUUUUCCUUUCUUAUUAGAGAAAAUUUAGAAAAUACAAAAAGGA